CACUGGAGAAGUGUGAGAGUAGAAAGGGGGUGUCACGACUCCUGGUCUCAGCUGGGACCCCAUCUUCCUUGGCAGGCUGGGUGCUCAUCAAUGGGGCUUUGCCUGGAGGAGCCUCAACAGUGUAACAGAUGACCAGGUGGAACAGAAGGGGACGCUGCCCCUGGACCUCUUGUCCCCCAUCAUGCUCAUGACAUCCAGAGCCCUUGGCAGCCUCUGGAGGAUCCACACAGAACAAAGUCACCCAACACUUGGGUCCUUGGCUUUGGGACAUGCCCUCACAGACUGGACAUGGAGGGACUGGAAUCCUUUACCCACUCAUUAAGAAACAUUCCUGGGCUAUUUUACCCUCAUGUACUUAUUCUGGAUCACGUGCUGGAGAAUACUUUCUGUCUCUGUCACCCAUUCCUUUCCACUGGCUUUGGUUUGCCGUCGGGUUCAGCCCAGCGGGAACUGAGUGAUGACUUGCUCUUCCUCCACGUACUUUCUUGGGGAACUUAUGGUAAUCACUGAACACUUGCCUCACCUCACUUCCCUUCCGAAAUCUCUGUGCACUUAGUAGGCACCAGUGAUUCGGAGUGCAGUGCUGUGGUUUAUUAGUCACCCUGUCGGACAUGCACUCCAACAAGGGUGCUUGGAUUAUCAAUGUAGACUCCUUGCAAUCUCCUGGGCAAACAUCGUUUUGUUUUUCAAAUUGCUUUACAGUAUAUCUCAUCUUACGAGUCCACUCUUAUUUUACGGUAUGGAGAGCAAGAGAGAAACUGGACCUGAAACAUAAUACUUGCUUCAGGCCACUGACUCAUCUACCCUUUCUUUCCGGCAAGGAGAGGAGUUUGGUGGGCCAGGGAAGGAGGAACGCAGAUUUAGACUCAGAGAGCCUUGGGUUCAAGUUCUGGAUCUGCAACUUCAGACCUGCAGCGAGACCCUUGGCUUCUUGUGAUGGUUUUUGCACUAGUGAAACUAAAGGAAAUGAGUUCACCUCCCAGGCUUCCUGUGCAGCUGGGACAGGGGGCAGGGGGACUCUGGGUGCC
rnacentral:lncRNA from 1 species